rnacentral:lncRNA from 1 species
GAGAGAUGGUGAUUUCAUGGGAGACCUUGCAGAGCGAGGUAUGUAUAGUCUCAUUAUACAGCAGAGUCAAGUCAAUAAUGUCAGGGAUAAGGGAGAGGGUAAAUACAGCAACUAUCCUUUGGCUCAUCAUAAAUAACUAAUAAAGCAGAAUUGGAGACUAGUUGUCACUGCUUGUUCAUAUGCGGCCUAUUUCUGGCAAGUGCUGACUAUGGGCACCUGACAAUAACUCCAGGAAAGGCAGUGAAAACAAGCAUCUUCUGGUUCUGCAAGCUGGAGUGGCUGUGAUGUUAAUUCACUAUGACGUACCAAAGAGGAACAUCCCAAGACAUUCCUAAGACCUGCCAAGUUUCUCUCCAUCUCUCUCAUAUAUGUGUGUAUCUCUCAGCAAACACCGACCUUGAUCCAUUUCUCAGGUUCAGCAUGUGUCGUGAAGAGAGCUGCCUUGUACUUGUGAAUACAUCUGCCUGCAGGUGCAAGAGAUUUCCAACAGGAACAACAAGAGAAGAAAAAAUGUGGUCCAACCUAGCACAGGUUCUCUAGAAGGAUUCAUUCAGUCACACUGUAUUGAAUGCUGCUCAAAUAAUUCUGCUUUAUACCCAUGAAAUGGGUGGAAGGGAGUAAGCCACAAAGAGCAAGGUGAUAGAAGCAACAUCACUGUUUGGAAUUCAAUAAUGUUCUAACAAUAAAACAUGGUUUAGAAUGAUUUUUUUCCA